UCCUCCUCCCUUGCGUCUGUAAUAUAUGCUGGUAAGAAUAACCACGAGCUCUCUCUCUCUCUCUGAAAACUAUCAACGGAAGAGGCAGCAGCCAUUUCAUUCAUCGCACAGUGUUCCUGCUAUGGUGCAGGCGAAACACCAUAAAUCGAAGCCCGGGAAGCAGCCUCAUCAGGCUAAGAAGCAUGGGAAGCAGGCGGAUAUGACGCAGUUCCGAGCUCAGGUCGACGCGCUGGGCCUGAAGAUUGUACAAGUGACUGCGGACGGGAACUGCUUCUUCAGGGCCCUUGCUGAUCAACUGGAGGGCAAUGAGGAUGAACAUGGAAAGUACCGAAGCAUGGUCGUGCAAUAUAUAUUGAAAAAUCGAGAAAUGUUUGAACCGUUUAUUGAAGAUGAAGUUCCAUUUGAGGAAUACUGCCAAACCAUGGAAAAUGAUGGCACGUGGGCUGGACAUAUGGAGUUGCAAGCAGCUUCACUAGUCACACGGAGUAAUAUAUGCAUUCAUCGGAGCAUGUCCCCUCGCUGGUACAUACGGAAUUUUGAGAAGCCCGGCUCUCGCAUGAUCCACUUGUCUUAUCAUGAUGAGGAACAUUACAAUAGUGUCCGACUGAGGGAAGAUCAUGGUGAUGGUCCAGCCAGACCAGUUCUAAUCAAGGCUGACUCAGAUCUAUCAUCAUCUUCUCGACAAGCAAAAUCUGCAUCGAACAAUUUUAAAGGAGGGCCUGGUAAGAAUGCGGUUGACACAGGAUCCAUUAAAUUGGUCAUGGCAGGAACUGGUUGUGAAAAUGCGGAGAAAGUUGAGCAGGUAUUAGAGCAGAUGGAUGGGGAUGUUGACGCCGCAAUUGAAUACUUGGUAGCAGAGCAGGGGAUGGAGGAGUUUUCAGAAGAAAUCAGUUCACCUAGCUGUCAGCCAGAAACUUCUUAUGGUGAUGGGGCAAAUGGAAAUUCUAAACAAAGCAAAGAGGAAAUUGCAAAUGAAACCAUCAAACAAGACCCAUCGAGCGACAACUUCAAGCGGCCUCACAAAGAUAGUAAUUCCCAGCCUGAUGGCAAGAAAAUUUCACGAAACAAAGCCUGUCCAUGUGGUUCAAAGAAGAAAUACAAGUCUUGUUGUGGAUCUGUGGCAGGGCGAUCCAAUAUUACAAUUCAGGCAGUUGAAUCCAGAAAGAGUAGAAAGGACAAAAGGCAAGGCAAAAAGGGAGUAUCUGCAAAUUCUCCACCCUCGGUUGGACCUGAUGGAGGGCCACCCGACGUGGGAGCACUUUGUAUAUGACCCUUUUUUCUCGUGUAUGUGCCCAUCAAUCUAUAAGACAUUGAAUACUUCAUGAUAAAUGUCAAUUCAUACAAUUCUUGAACAGGAAGUCCUGAUACUCUCAGUCACCAAAAUAGAAGGAGAAUAUGCAGCUCUCAACUCUCACCUGUCACUGGACUCGCGCUUGCCCUCGAGUCCCGGCUAUUUUGGUUCUUCAAGAAUUUAACGGUCACAGAGGCGAAUCCUCUGAUGCAAUACUUCCGAGAGAGAAAAAUAUGUUUCCACAUAUCCGGCUCAUCUGCUCUAUUGUCAUGAAUGCUAGUAACAUAGUGGUUUACAUGGACGAGGAAAGGAAAAUGUGAUUCACAUGAGGACCAUUGGUUCAUUUUUGUAAUUCUAAUCUUAAGAGAGGCUUCAUCGCUUAUGCUUUUUUCCAGUUCUUUCAGGUCAAAUGUUACAGCUCAUUGUCAAUUUUGCCU